AGAAGAAGAACGGAACAAACGACGAAGAAGAAAAAGUAAGAAAGAUGGAAGCAGUGAUGAAGUCAGAAAAAGACCUAAACAUGUUUAAAUCUAAAGAAACCUCCAUAUAUUUACACAAACACUCCUACUGGUUUGACUUCUGGUUGUUCGUGGUCUUCGACAUCGUGUUUUUCCUCGUCAUGUACUUUAUAAUCCCGUAAAAAAGGUUUGUCCCCUGGAGAGAAAGAGUCCCUGCUGUGAGGAAUGCUAACCGAGCUUCUACUGAUUUGAACACCAUAUUAUGGGAUAUCACGUCCCAUGUUUCCACAACUUGGACUAGAACUACAAGUCCGUACAUGUGUCUUCCUCCUGCUUUGAAACCAGACAUUUGACCCUCAGAGCUCGGUCUUUCUGCACGGAUGGAUUCACUUUGUUGCUGCUGCGAAGAGAUUCACUUCAAGUUGUUUUAUUUAAAAGUGACAAUGGCCCUUCUGAUGACCCCCUGCUGUGAUAACAUCAGAGAUCUUACCUGCACACCGUGGAGAGAAACGUGAUGAUUUGGAAAAUGAUGAGAGCAAGUCUUGAAAGUUUGCACAUGUGAAACACUGCAAUAAAAAUGUUUUACCUACAAGCA